AUUUAAUAUUGACGUUGUAGUUGAAAGAGUUAAACGCGGGACGACGGCCAUGAAACAUUAGUUAUUUUAGCUGGCUGGACAACUUGCAAUCAUGACAAUGGACUGUAUAGUACCGCAACCAAUUUGGACAGGAGGCUACCAUCACGGUGGCCUUGCCUCUCUUCACUCUCAUUAUUUCGCUCCAUACUACAUCCCCAGGAAACGCAGUUCCUUCUCCUGCUCCUACUUCUCAGGUAUUUCCAUGUUUGGUUUGUGUUUACUUAGUGGAUAAUCAAUCGAUAUUCAAUGGAAGGGUUGGGUGAACAAUUCUACAAAAAUGUGUAUUAAAUUAGAGAAAUGGGUAGCAGUAGAAAAUCAAACUAAUUCGGGUAUUAAUUGUGUGUGUUGUUGUUUAUUCUUCAUAAUACUGUAAAUGAUAAACAAGAUUUUUAAAUAUGUUAUGAAACUAGUUUGGGGUUUUUUUUCAAACUUUUUGUGGAAGAACCUGUUUGUAUUGAUGUCAGAAUAUAGAAAGUGUUUAUUAGUUUGUUAUUUUCAAGUUGUUGGUCAUUCAACUAAAGACGUACAAAUUUUUUUUGUGAAAAGUU
rnacentral:misc_RNA from 1 species